rnacentral:rRNA from 1 species
GGGAAUCUUGCACAAUGGGGGCAACCCUGAUGCAGCGACGCCGCGUGAGCGAUGAAGCCCUUCGGGGCGUAAAGCUCUUUCGACUGGAACGAUAAUGACGGUACCGGGAGAAGAAGCUGCGGCUAACUACGUGCCAGCAGCCGCGGUAAUACGUAGGCAGCAAGUGUUGUUCGGAGUUACUGGGCGUAAAGAGUGCGUAGGCGGUUUUCUAAGUUCGGUGUGAAAUCUCCCGGCUUAACUGGGAGGGU